AUCCUCUCAAUUAAUGUCUAAAAGAGUUUUCAAACUGCAUGGAUGAGAGAGAUGGAUUACCCACACUGAUGAAAUUGCCACUCUCUUAAGUAUUGAAGUAUUCUGAACUACAAUAUCCCCUGAGCCAGGGCUAACUGCAAAGCUGCUUCCUCUGGCAUUCAGUGGCUCCAGUACUAUGGCCCCAUGGGCAUAAAAUAUUGGGAUUAAGCCAUGCAACAGGUGCUUAUCAGGGGAGUCAGUAAAUGAGUUGCUGGAUCUCAGUAGCUUCCUAAGAAAGAAGCUACAUUGGAGCUCUUUCUGAUGCCCUUUCUCUGCUUCUGUGCUACCCGAUACAGCCCCUGGGUACCUUGAAAAGUUACAGAGGUAUUCUACAGCUGAAUCAAGAAAUUGGAUAAAGGGAUUGGACAUUCCCUGGAUCAAGCAAGUAUGUUUCUUGUCAGCAAGCUUUUUUUUUUUUUGUAAACUCCAGGGCUACCUGUUGUGCUUAUAAAUCCCCCAGUGGUGUUAGUGGAAUUAGCUUUUUCCUCCCUAACUAGAAAAUGCAUUCCCUCAGAAACUUCAUAAGAGAAAAGAUUACUGCUGCUUUUAAUUUUUUUAAGUUGUGUUACUCACAAAAUGCAAUCAUCUGAAUAUAUUGAUGGAAUUAUCAACCAAAUGCAUUGACAAGUAUGAGCAGCAUUACUCUUUUGAAGGAAAAAAACAAUUGUUUGUUUUCGAUUAGCUAUUUCCCAUCCGCUUUGUAAGAAUUUAAUUCUGUCCUAUUUGUCUUCUUACAUUUGAAAUAUUUCAUUGACUGUAAUCAGUAUUUAUUGGUGGUCAUACAUGAAUCUUAUUGCUAGACAUCUCUGAUCUCCAGGCAGCUAUUUCUAAAGCAGAGAAACAGAGUGGUUCCAUGAUCUGGGGAUGUAUUCUGUAAAAAGAUCUUGGGUCUUCCUGUUCUCCUUCAGCCUUCUGUUGAUUCCAAGGCUUGAUCAUUUACUGGCUGCAGUGACUACAUUUGAUUUAGGGUUCUCUAAAUCAAUUUCAUUGGUCCAGUUUGCAAUCCCAGGCUCAUUCUUGGCCAAUUGGGUUUAUUUAGUCUUGUGAAUGAUAAUUUACCUAAUCACUGACUUAACUUCCUUUCUCCUUCAGCCUCGAGGAAAGUAAAGAAAAAAAACAGGAAAAGACAGGAAUCCCAUCUCCUCCAAAAUGAUACAAAGAUACUUUUCCAUUAUAUGCUUAUAGAUAUUAAACCUCCACCCACACAUAGAAAAAAAUUCCCAUUCUGUAGUAUUUUAAAGUUUAUAAAGCACUUUCCUCACAGUCCUGUAAGAUAAGUAGUUUCAAACAUGAUUAUCCCCACUGGCUAGAUGAGGAAACAAUCUCAGAAGUAAAGUGAUUUGGUAGGAUCAUAGGGCUAGAGAAUAUAUAAGCCCAGACUUAAACCCAGGCUCCUGAUCCUAAAAAGAGGUUCUUUCCGGCAUAACAGACUAACUCUGGUCACCACAAACUAUUUGCAUAUAUAUAUAUAUAGUUCCCAAAGUGCAGCAUGUAUGGUGUUGUGGGGAAAGUACUGAACUUGGACUAAGAAGUACAAAAUCCAAGCUCUACUAUUUACUAUCUGCAUGAUAUUCAGCAAAUCACUUAACCUCUCUGAGCUUCAUGUUUCUCCUUUAUAAAAAUACUAACAGGAAUCUCCAUGUUGUCUAUUUUUUAAAAAACUAUAAUGCAGAUAUAGACCACUAUAUGUGUUUGCUAUCUAUUUAAGGAUUCUCCAAAGGCAACCUCUGUUAGGAAAAGAAAUCUAAGCCCUUGAAAAUGGAACCCUCUCUAAAAAUCCACUGACAGUACUUUAAGCCUCACAGGGCCAGACAUUAAAAUUUGCGAAUGAUUGAACUCAAAGCCUACUCAGUCCUUAGAGGAAACAUAUGUUAGACACAAAUUCUAAUAAUUAUAACUGAUGGGUGGUGUUUUAAAGAUUACAAAAUAUGUACAUAUACAUGCACAUGCAUACAUAUACAUAUAUGUCAUUUGACACUCAUAGUCCAUAAGUAGUUACUACAAAUAUUACUACAUAUGAGUAAACUGAGGCUAAAAGAGGUUAAGUGACUUGCCCAUGAUAUCAGAGCUAGUAAAUGCCAGCUUUCUUUGGCUUUAAUUAAAAAAAGACAAAGGCCUUCCACUUACUGAUGUCAUGUACACCAGUUACUUUGAGAAUAAAGUUGUAUUCCCCCUUCAUUUCUAUCAACCUAUUUACUCAGUAUCUUAAAAUUAACUAGUUCUUGAACAACUAGUUCUUGAACAGACCUUGAACAGGUCAGAUACACGGCCAUGAGAAAAUAUGUGGAAGAGAGGCUGGAAAAUGCUUCUUAGACUAUAAACAUUCCUGUGAUGUUCAUUGAUUGCAUUGCAUACUGCAAAUAGUAAAUGCUUAAUAAAUGCAUAUUGAAUGUUGAGUUAAUAUGAGUGGGAUUAGGGCCAAUUUCCUGGAUGACAAAUAAUAAUAACUCACAUGAUGAUAGAUAGUUCUAUUAUAUUUUCAAAGCACUUUUCCCUUCUAAGGGAAGUACUACAAGUGUUGUUAUCCCCAGAUGCUGAGGGGCAGAAAAAAGGAAUGAUUUGCCCAAAAGCCGGACGGCAGUGAGUGUCGGACUUGGGAUUUGAACCAAUAUCCCCUGACUCCAAGUCCAGGGUGCUCUCCACUACACUAUACUUACUGCCUCUCAAGAGAACUAAAAAGGCUGCACUGGGCAUUGUGAAGAAAGUGACUAAAGAAUAAACACCAAAACAAAAUGGGGUAGGAGAGAAAAAGGGAAGAUCUGUAUCCACUGGGGAAUCGAAUUGUCUUUUCCUAAUCUGCGAAGUAUCAGAGAAAGGAGAGGGGAAAGUGAGGUCUACCCAAUUCUCAAGAGUCCUUGUGCAUGAGUACGUAACUUACUCAGUAAUCUUAGGUUCUUUCCCUGUGUCUUUGCCAUUAACUUGCCAUAUGUAUGGCAUGUCACUUAACUUCCUUGGCCUUACCUACAUCCCCCCCAUGUGAGGUCAGCCAUCCUUGCAUUAAGGAAGAGGUUGAUAAGAUGCUCUGGAAAAGGGGAGGUAGAAAGCCAUCUUUCUGUAGUCUGACCUAGACAUGGCCCUUGGGAGCAUACUGAGGUGGCAGUAAAUCCUUUGUGUGGCACCCUCUGCAAAUUCCCAAUUUCCCUAAAGGUUCAGAAAGGAGCCUCAUUUUCCUUCAGGUCUCUCAUGGGAGUUUAAAGCACCUACAGUGGUAUCUGGUUCUCCAGUGGAGAGAACCAACUGGCUCUGCCAAAAGGUCUUUGACUGUCCAUGCGCACUCCACUGUGUGGAACUCCCACCACUUCUGCUCUUGCCCUGUAUACCGUCCCCUAAUCCGUGCAGAUCUCAGACUGUCUCACCUACUGAUGUCACCAAGACACUAGCUACCCCUUCCGGAUCCCCUCUGGGAACCCCACUCCUUAUUUUGUGACCUGGGACUGAAUGAAGGUGUUUCUUUUCAUCCAGAUAAACCCCUAAAGCACUGAACAGCAGCAUUGAGCUUGAUUAUUCCAAGUCAUUACCAACCCUGAUUUGUGAAUACAUCCUGUACAGUUCAAAUCCUGUUUCUUUCUACUCUUAAUCCAAUAGAUAGAUAAAUUAGAAGCAUGAAAAUGUGAAUCUCCAAGAAAAAUCAAAGGUCUUUUUCUCUGAUCUUAGAGUAGCACGAGGGACACAUUCUCCUCUUCUCUUGUACAAGUGAGCUAUGAGGAGUCUUUUGUGGGGGCUUUGCUUUCAUAAUCAACCCCCACCCUUUUCAUUCUGUAUCCAGAGAUAAUAGUAGGAACAGUUUAAAGCAGGCAGGGCCAAGACCUUUGUAGAGAGAAAAACAAAGCUUCCAUUUGACCAGAAUUCUCCAGUCCACAAUUUCCUCAUGGACAUGGCUUGCUGUGCUCUCUGAUCAGUAAUGCUGGCGCAGUACAAACUGACACAUUCCUGAUCAAUGCACCACUUUGCUUCUAGACAAGAACGUGUGUGUCAGGAAGGGAAGAAUCAAUGACCUUGGUGGGACUUAAUUAGCUUUGUCUCAAGCUCAGCAAGGCCAUUCACCAGCUACUAAAGACUUUUAUGAUCAUCUUUUCAAAACCCCAGCAUUCUUUCUAAAUCAGCUGCUUGGGAGCCAGAGACAGUUUUAGUGAAUUCUCAAGAGCUAUUUUUACAUAAUUAACAGGAUGCAAGAGCUCUUUCUGCUUUCUCUGCUUUCUGCCCUGGCCACCUCCUUCCUCUGACUUUCAUUUAGAGUUAUAGGAAAUCCUCAUGUGCCCCACCAGGACAUUACCAGUGGCUGAAUAACUUGGCCCAAGAAACAAAUGACAGCAAGUAGACUCCUAAAUGGCAGAAUCCUUCCUUUCUACUAAACAAACAUCCUUUUACAGCCUGGACACAAGCAAAUGACUACACACCCAAGAUUUAUGCACCACUAUGAUCCAGUGCUGCAGGUCUGCCUUUGGUAUGGAGUGGGUGAGGCUGAACGAUUGUGUCCUGGGCUAUGGGGCUAGAAAGAGUAAGAUAGGGCUUCCAUCAGGCCAUCUAGCCCUGACAAGUUUUGACAGUAACUUCAACCCUAGCUUUUAAGAUGUCCUUUAGUGGAAGUCACUUUUUUUUUUUAGGGAGUGGAGGCUUUCUGGAACAAAUUUUGGUUAGGCUGAGCCUCAGAACAUUACUCUCUCUUGGAUAUAGAGUGGUCAUUGCUCCAGCUAAAUGGAGAGACAGAAUAGGGGGAAAAAAUUGAUUCCACAAAGUAAAACAUUAGUCAUAUAAAGAGGUAGAAAGAGCUACUACCCAAAGGAGAAAAAAAAAAGUUUCCCACUGACAACCUUGAUAACUGUAACCACAAGUUCACUAGGAUGAGCCCACAUCAAAAGUGCUCCAAGACCAUGCCAUGAGCCCCUAGCCAUCAGGAUUCAUGUAAGAUAUUAAAUCUACCUGUUGGGGCUUUGGGUCAGGAAAGACCUGCUGUUCUAGGUCACUGAUAACUAUGCACAAAGUCUAAGAGGGUGAGACAAAAAUAUUUUUCUACAAUAGCACAGGAAACUCUUAGGAGAUAGAGAGGGGUCUUUCCAAUAAUCCUCAAUCUGGAAAGCAGCAUAUUGACUUUGUCCUAAGAGAUGAGAGUUAAGAUUCUAUGCAUUUGAAGCUGUAUUUACUCCAGAAUAGAUGGAGACAGAAACAAUGGAUGUCCUAUACUAAAAAGGUAAGGUGAUAACUGGUUAAAAUGAGAAGAGCAUUGUCUUUUUUGAGAUGGCACCUGCAAGGAAGUUGUGGAAGCCCGUGGGAAACGCAGCUUAACAGCAGCAAAACUCGGUGCACAUGUUUUGAUGUCAGUAUAAUACAGUAGUGACAUUCUGUGAUAAUUUGCUGACAGAUGUAUACCUGUGGGUUUGGGUUUGCUAAUGUAAU
rnacentral:lncRNA from 1 species